rnacentral:misc_RNA from 1 species
UUUGAAGAGAAUUGAAUUCACCACCGCAUGUSAAGACGUCCCUGGCAUCUUUAGCCCGGAUUUUGCCCAGCCGCUGGGGGCAACACNGGGCAGACCAGCUUCGGUCCGAUAUCCUCGAGAGGAUGGGGGGACAACCAUUUGUGACACCCGGGCAAACGUGCCCUCGGCCAAAAGGCUUGGGGCCCACCUUGCGUUCAAAGACUCGAUGGUUCAGGGGAUUCGGCAUUUCACACCAAGAACCACUUUUCGCUACGUUCUUCUUCGAUGCGAGAGCCGAGAUAUCCGUUGCCAAAAGUCAUUUUAGACUUUACUUUGCAAAUCUGCUUCACAACAAACACCGUCUCCGGGUUGGGGAACCCAGGCCUUUUGGUUGAAGGUUCCUUGACCUUUUUGUUGCCGGGGUUUGUUGAUCCCCGGAAGCUAUGAUAACAAACCAACCCAAACCGGCCCGGUGACGAAC